GACAGAGGUGCCGAGCGUUAGGCGGAAUCACUGGGCUUAAAGCGUGUGUAGGCGGGCCGUUAAGUGUCUUGUGAAAUCCCCCGGCUCAACCGGGGAAUUGCUGGGCAUACUGGCGGUCUUGAGCGAUCUAGGGGCAGAUGGAACAAGUGGUGGAGCGGUGAAAUGCGUAGAUAUCACUUGGAACGCCAAAGGUAAAGACAGUCUGCUGGGGAUCUGCUGACGCUGAGACACGAAAGCCAGGGGAGCGAACGGG
rnacentral:rRNA from 1 species